rnacentral:ncRNA from 1 species
UAUUUGUGAAGAUGUGGACUACCUGCACCUGGAAAGAAAGACCCUAUGAAGAUUCACUAUUUUGUGGGAUUGGCAUUGGGCCUUUCCUGUGUAACUUAGAUGGAAGGCAAAGAAGGCCUCCUUCCGGUAGGGCUCGAGCCAUCAGUGAUAUACCACUCUGGAAGGGUUAGAAUUCUAACUUUGUGUCAGGACCUACGGGCCAAGGUACAGUCUCAGGUAGACAGUUUCUAUAGGGCGUAGGCCUCCCAAAAGGUAACGGAGGCAUGCAAAGGUUUCCUCGGGCUGGAUAGAGAUUGACCCUCGAGUACAAAGGCAGAAGGGAGCUUUACUACAAGACCCACCAAUCGAGCAGGGACAAACGUCGGCCUUAGUGAUCCGACGAUGCCGAGUGGAAGGGCCGUCGCUCAAUGGAGAAAAGUUACUCUAGGGAUAACAGGCUGAUCUUCCCCAAGAGCUCAUAUCGAUGGAAAGGUUUGGCACCUCGAUGUUGGAUCUUCGCCACCUGGGGAUGUAGUAUGUUCCAAGGGUUGGGUUGUUCGCCCAUUAAAGAAGUACGUGAGCUGGAUUCAAAACAUCGUGUGACAGUUCGGUCCAUAUCCGGUGGGGCGUUAGAGCAUUGAGAGGACCUUUCCCUAGUACAAGAGAACCGGGAAGGACGCACCUCUAGUGUACCAGUUAUCAUGCCCACGAUAAACGCUGGGUAGCCAAGUGCGGAGUGGAUAACUGCUGAAAGCAUCUAAGUAGUAAGCCCACCCCAAGAUAAGUGCUCUCCUAUUCUGACUUCCCAGAGCUUCCGGUAGCACAACCGAGACAGCGAUGGGUUCUCUGCCCCUACGGGGAUGGAGCAACAGAAGCUUUUUUGAGAAUUCAAGAGAAGGUCAUGGCGAGACGAGCCGUUUAUCAUUACAAUAGGUGUCAAGUGGAAGUGCAGUGAUGUUUGCAGCUGAGGCAUCCUAAUAGACCGG